rnacentral:ncRNA from 2 species
AUAUUGAGAUCAGCUUACGGGGAAGUAGGGUGUGAUUCCCUCACUGUGCCGCAACGGUUGAUAAAGUCCGAAUACCGUAAGAC